CUCAGUGUAAGGUCAUUAGACUGAAGGCGGAGCUUAGGGGCACAGAAGGCAGAGCCCGGGUGUGGAGAAAUAGACUGAGAGCGGGGCUGGGCUGACGAGAGGUGGAGCCCCGGAGAGAAGCAACAGAAAUGAGGGCGGAUCUUAGAAACGAUGAAGGCGAAGCCCAGGUUUGUAAUAAUUAGGCUGAGUGCGGGGCUUAGAAGAUUAGCAAGCGGAGGACAGAUAUUGGGCAGUUAGGAUGAGGGCGGGGUUUGGAGAGCAAGAGGCGGAGUCCGAGUGUAGAGCAACAGAAUGAGGGCGGAACUUAGGAGCGCAGAAGGCGGAGCCCGGACCUGGAGAAAUAGGAUGAGGGCGGGGCUUGUUGCUCCGGAGUGGUGCAAAAUCUUAAGGGAAAAAAUUAAAAAUGUGUGAGAGGCGGAUUCCCGGUGUUUCGUGGUCAGCUUGGGCGGUGCUUAGAAGUGCCAGGGUAGUGCUCCCUGCUUGUGUCCGGUGCCCAAGCUUUAGUCAUUUUGCCAAGGCGGGUGGCUCUUGGCUGAGGCUGGGGAGGGCGGAGCUGUAGGCGCUGCCUCCGGACUCCUCCCUGAAGGAGAUGACCAAAAGGAUGGAUACCUCCCCAGCAAACCACAUUCCCACCCACCCUGCUGAGUUCUGGAAACUCGCUGGGUUUCAGGGGUCAGAGUUGAGGUCCCCCACUGGGAGGUGGAGGGUGCAGACCCUAGUGUGAGAGGCAGAUGGAGAGUUGGCUUCAUGGAUAAGAGCAACUGUUCUAGCAAAGGACCUGGGUUCUCCUCUCAUCACCCACUUGAAGUCUCACCUAGGGCAGAGGGCAUAUUAGGCUUGAUGGAAAAGCAGAGAGAUAUGGGAGCCCUGAUGUUUGUGGUGAGGCUGGGAGGCUCUCAUGGGAAAUGUUCAAAAGGAUCUUUAUUUUUAAAGUGGUGUGAGAGAGGACAGAAAGGUCAUAUUUCAAAAGGGCAAUGGGCUGUGAAUGUUGCCCUCAAGACAGAUGAAGAACCUACGGCACCAAAUCUUACGGAGGGUUGUUUCCGUUCCGUUUUAGGCAGUUAAAUAGCAAAUAAGAAAUUAAGAGGAGAAAGCUAGGCUGGAAAGAUAGUUGGAUAGUUCGGUAAAAAUGCCUGAAACCAAAUCUCUUCUGAAUUUGAUCUCGGAAUUUACAUAGUUGAAGUAAAGGACUGUCUCCAAUAAGCUGUCCUCUGCCGCCACCUUAGAGCCAUGGCAUAUGUGUACACACACACACACACACGCACACACACACACACACACACACACACACACACACACACGAAGGGGCACAUAAAAUAAACAAGACUAGGCUUUUAAGUUUAAAAGCCCAAAAACCUGUCCUCACUUUUAUGAAGGCAAUCACAAUUUCUUAGUCUACUCACAAAAUUAUGCAAUAAGACUUUAGGCUAUUUAUAUUGUAGUAAUAUUAGGAAUCAUGAUCUGGCCUGGAGAGAUGCCUCAGCAGUUAAGAACAAUUCCCACCCCACACAUGGCAUCUCACGACUGUCUGAAAUUCAGUACCAGGGUACAAGUACCAAUAUCACACAGAUGUCCAGGCAAAACACUAAUGCACAUAAAAGAAAAAUAAUAAGUCGUUAGAAAAAAUGAUAAUCUAAAUCUAACUCAUACUAUUUCAUAACAGGCUAAUAGAAAGGUUGUUUUAGAACAUGGACUGAGCCAGCCUGAUCUACAUAAUAAAAACCCCAUCUGAAAAAGCAAAGAAGGAAACUGGAAAGAUGAUGGCUCAGCAAUUAAAAGCCAAGCUGCUCUUGCAGGAGAUCAGAGGUCAUUUCCCGGGACCCAUGACAAAUGUUCACAACCACCUAUCAGUCCAGUUACAAGGCACCCCAGUUCCUCUGGCCUUUGGGGCACCAGCACUUGCAUGUACAUACCCACACAGAGACUUGCAAACAUACAUAUCAUAAAAACCAAAAUGGGAUUAAAAAAAAAACCCUUAUCAAAGGGAAAAAUAGAGUUUCAGAACAUCUUUAUAUAAGAAUGAGAGUUUGUUAAAGUCAAUUACCAGGCCAGUUAUAAAACCCUAUCAGUGACCUUGCUGUCCUGGCUAUAGUUUCCAUUCAAAGUGACUCACACUUAGAGGGUAUUCACAAUUUCAACAUUCUUAAAUUUGUAGUGGUCUUUUAAAAAGGUAUAAUAUAUAUAAAUAUGUAUAUUUAUUAGUUUAUGUACAUAAGUGUUUUUGCCUUUAUAUGUAUCUAUGCACCAUAUGUAUACAGUAUACAUAAGGCCAGAGGAGGGCAUUGAGUCCCCUCAAAGUAUAAUUAGAGAUGUUUGUGAACCACAAGCUGGGUGCCAGGAAUUGAACCCUGGUCCUCCAGAUGAGCAGUUAGUGCUCUUAAGUGCUAAGCUAUCUCUUGAGCAGCUUGUAUAAGUCUUCUGGAAAAUACUCGUUCACUGGUUUAUACAGGCCUUCUGUGCAUUGCCAUAUUUCAUCCAAUAAAAACCUUAAAAUCCCAUCCAUUAACACUGCCUGCUACUAAAUAUUGAGUGAUAUGGCUUCACACUCACCAGGUAGCUAAGAAAAGGUUUUCAAAAUGCUAACAUCUUCUAAUCAGUCACAUUAGGCAAUGGUAGAAAACAUUCUUGGUGAUUGUGACUGAAAUGACGAGGUCAUUUUUGUAAUUGCUGAGAACAUUUUGACCAGGUUUGGCCAAGAAUUACCAUAGGUUAUUAUUUUGAUGCUUUUAAUUUAAAAUGACGUUCAGAGAGAAAAGCUCUAUCUUUGACAGUUUUCACAGUGUUUCCAUUAAAUCUGAAUUGCCUAGCCAGCUGUUCACUCUAUUAUUACUUCAGGUGGAUUCCUGGUAGGUGUUUUCCUAUAAGAACUUAACAUAUAUUCUAGAAUUUCAGUCUUGAGCUAGGCAAAAUAAAUCUGUUCCCUUCCUCCAAAUAAUGAUAUAACACAAAGGAUCUGAUCAAGUAGCUAUUAAGCUGCACAAAGAACUGCUGUUAGUCCUGUUGAUGCCUUGAAUCCUAGCCCUUGAGAGACAGAUGGAGGUGAAUUUCUGUGAAUUCCAGGGCACACAGGGCUACAUAGCAAGAUCCUGCCAUAAUAAUAAUAAUAAUAAUAAUAAUAAUAAUAAUAAUAAUAAUAAUAAUAUAAUAAUAAUGUAUUACUACUAUUACAUUUAUAAAUAUUAAAUAUUUGGGGCUGGAGAUUUGGCUCACUGGUUAAAAGCACUGACUGCUCUUCCAAGGAUCCUGAGUUCAGAUCCCAGCAACCACUGGUGGCCAACAACCAUCUGUAAUGAGAUCUGAUGCCCUCUUCUGGUGUGUCUGAAGAGGUGGUGAAGACAGCUACAGGGUCUUUAUACAUAAUGAAUAAAUCUUUUAAAAAAAUAAUAGGUAUUUCUUAUAAUAAUUAUACAUAUUUAAGUAAUUAACGAUUACUUAAUAAUAAUUAUUAUUUCAAAUAAUGCUGUAUAUUUUAUUUUUGAGACUGAUUCUAAAAGGCUUUAUAUUGUUUUCUCUAAGAAACUGCUCUUGCAUCCCUGAACAGUGGGAUAAAUACUCCUACUUAUGUUUUUAUUCCACUUGUGAGGAAAACUUGACCUUGACACUGCAGGAACACUAAACUGCUUCUUCUCCAGACACCACAUUCAUCUGUCUGAUUGGCAGAGUCUGGGAGACAAAUCAGAGGGGAAAUUUGAGUUUGGCUCUCACAGCGAGGAGGCAGAACUCAUAUCGGAUCGCUGCUCAUCUGAGAGAAGGCUGCCUGGGAGAGGAUGAGCACAAGAGUACAUAAAGCAUGCUCAGCACUAUUAGUUAGAGGAAUGCAAUCAAAACCACUGUGGUGAUGGCAGGAGCUCUGGGAAUCCCAAGCAACUAGGCUCAACCACCUGUCACACCACACCAAUCACAGAGACACAAGGUACUGACAGGCAGAGAAGAGUUGAGCAAUGUGGUAUGUUUGGAGGUGCAGAUAAAGAGGCUCAGUGGCUACAAGUCCAUCAUCGGGGCACUGCUAUGAGCUUUGGGUUUAUAUAGGGGAUGGGUUUCAAAAGCAUGACUAAGCAGGCUUGGUCUCUGAGUGGCUUGGUUGGUCCUUAUCUCUGUGGUCUGUUGACCAUUAUCUGAGCUCUGCUUCCUUAUGACAAGCAGAAGUUCCCACUGUCUUUGAGGCACUGCAGUUCCUGCAAUUAAUUAUCCUUACACAUUUAUCACCACGUCUGGAGACAUUCAAGCAUCCUUACAGAGUCCAGAACAGGGCAUCAUGAAAGCUGUGAUAAGAUACCUCUGUGUCUUGAACUGUUGGAGACAGGUUAGCCUUGGUUUGUAAACAUAUUUCUUUAAUACUUAGCAGAGCUCACGCUGAGUUAAAGCAUGUGAUGAUGAAGUGUGCAGAGUAAUGGAGACACACACAGGUGAAGGUAGAGACGCCAGGCUUUUGGUACCUUGGGAGCUUGAAAUACGAGCGAAUACUUUAUAGGAAAAGCACUUUCUAGGCACCUGUGACAGCAAUAGUAACUUACUUAAAUAUUCAUUAUAUUCAUCAAGAUUCAUGUAAGCUACUUAGCUAAUUAUUAUUACUUUUCUUUGAUAAGACAAGGGCUCUAUGUAGUCUAGUCUAGUAUGGCUAUUCUAGAACUCCUUAUGUAGACCAAGCUUGUCUUGAACUCACCGGGAUCCACCUGCCUCUGCUUCUUGAGUGCUGAGAUUAAAGACAUGAGCAUGAUACCUUGUAGACGUAGGGUUUUUUCAAAACCUACUUUAAUUGUGGUUUUUUAAUGCUUCACCCUCCCUUCUAGCUCACCACUCACCAGAGGUAGGGGAAAAGAAAGGUUAAUGGGAAACGGGGUUUAUGGAUCUGUUUAGAAAUAGUCUUUGGGGUGAUUCCAAUCUUCACAGUCAGCAGCAGUCCAGUCCACUCGGCAAACACCAAACACAAAUCAGUCACAGUGACUCCUUCCAGAAGAAACCUCCAGGCUCCACCAGCCAACAAAUCAUCAGGAGUCAGCAGAAGCAGCUGGAACACCACCAGACGUUCAUUGACGCAUUUCUCUCUCAGAAUCAGGACAAAUGAAGAAAGCAAUGAACCAAGGCAAGAGCGACCUCAGGGAAGACCAGCAUCAGAGAAGCCCAAGGAAGACCAGCAGUGAGCUGCAAGCUCCCAGCACGACUAACUCUGGACCUGUGGGCUCAGAGCAGUAUGGUUGACGAUGGAAAAAGGACUGAAGAGAGACGCACACACAUGCACCCCAGGUUAGCUUCAGACUUACUGUGUAGUAGAGGACUGUCUUGACACUGCGAUCUCCCGGGCCUGCCUCCCAGGGCUGGAUUCGUAAGAAUACACAUCCAUGGGUUGGGGAUUCAGCUCCGUGGUAGACAGCUUGCCUAGCAGGCUCAAGGCCCUGGGUUCGGUCCCCAGCUCAGAAAAAUAAAUAAAAAUUUUUUUAAAAAAGAAU